AUUGAACGCUGGCGGCAGGCCUAACACAUGCAAGUCGAACGAGUGGCGGACGGGUGAGUAAUGUCUGGGAAACUGCCCGAUGGAGGGGGAUAACGACUGGAAACGGUAGCUAAUACCGCAUACCAUCGGAGGUGCCCAGAUGGGAUUAGCUGGUAGGUGGGGGAACGGCGCACCUAGGCGACGAUCCCUAGCUGGUGUGAGAGGAUGACCAGCCACCCUGGACCUGAGACACGGUCCAGACUCCUACGGGAGGCAGCAGUGUGGAAUAUUGCACAAUGGGCGCAAGCCUGAUGCAGCCAUGCCGCGUGUCUGAAGAAGGCCUUCGGGUUGUAAAGUACUUUCAGCGAGGAGGCGUUACUCGCAGAAGAAGCACCGGCUAACUCCGUGCCAGCAGCCGCGGUAAUAC
rnacentral:rRNA from 1 species